UAGGGAAUCUUCGGCAAUGGACGAAAGUCUGACCGAGCAACGCCGCGUGAGUGAAGAAGGUUUUCGGAUCGUAAAACUCUGUUGUUAGAGAAGAACAAGGACGUCAGUAACUGAACGUCCCCUGACGGUAUCUAACCAGAAAGCCACGGCUAACUACGUGCCAGCAGCCGCGGUAAUACGUAGGUGGCAAGCGUUGUCCGGAUUUAUUGGGCGUAAAGCGAGCGCAGGCGGUUUCUUAAGUCUGAUGUGAAAGCCCCCGGCUCAACCGGGGAGGGUCAUUGGAAACUGGGAGACUUGAGUGCAGAAGAGGAGAGUGGAAUUCCAUGUGUAGCGGUGAAAUGCGUAGAUAUAUGGAGGAACACCAGUGGCGAAGGCGGCUCUCUGGUCUGUAACUGACGCUGAGGCUCGAAAGCGUGGGGAGCAAACAGG
rnacentral:rRNA from 1 species